GGUAAGCCUUGGCCAGCAGUGGCGGGAAGAAAGAGGAGGGGGGGGUUAGUGGGGAUUACUGGGCGGAAAGGGUGCGUAGGCGGCUGUGUAAGUCGGAUGGGAGAUCCCCGAGCUUAACGUGGGAAUUGCAUUCGAUACUGGGAAGCUAGAGUAUGGGAGAGGAUGGUAGAAUUCCAGGUGUAGCGGUGAAAUGCGUAGAGAUCUGGAGGAAUACCGAUGGCGAAGGCAGCCAUCUGGCCUAAUACUGACGCUGAGGUACGAAAGCAUGGGGAGCAAACAGGAUUAGAUACCCGGGUAGUC
rnacentral:rRNA from 1 species